AUUGAACGCUGGCGGCAGGCUUAACACAUGCAAGUCGAACGAGUGGCGGACGGGUGAGUAAUGCUUGGGAAUCCAGCUUAUGGAGGGGGAUAACUACUGGAAACUGUAGCUAAUACCGCGUACCAUAGGAUGAGCCCAAGUGGGAUUAGGUAGUUGGUGAGGUAAAGGCUCACCAAGCCGACGAUCGCUAGCUGGUCUGAGAGGAUGACCAGCAACACGGGGACGGAGAGACGGCCCAGACUCCGACGCGGGGCAGCAGUGGGGAAUAUUGCGCAAUGGGGGCAACCCUGACGCAGCCAUGCCGCGUGUAUGAUGAAGGCCUUAGGGUUGUAAAGUACUUUCAGCGGGGAGGCGUUACCCGCAGAAGAAGCACCGGCUAACUCCGUGCCAGCAGCCGCGGUAAUAC
rnacentral:rRNA from 1 species